rnacentral:rRNA from 1 species
UGGGGAAUAUUGCACAAUGGAGGGAACUCUGAUGCAGCGACGCCGCGUGAGUGAUGAAGGAAUUCGUUUCGUAAAACUCUGUUCUAUGGGAAGAAAAGGACUGUACCAUAGGAGAAAGCUCCGGCUAAAUACGUGCCAGCAGCCGCGGUAAUACGUAUGGAGCGAGCGUUGUCCGGAAUUAUUGGGCGUAAAGGGUGCGCAGGCGGCUUUACAAGUUGGAUGUGAAAUAUUGUGGCUCAACCACAAACGUGCAUCCAAAACUGCAAAGCUUGAGUUACGGAGAGGGAAGUGGAAUUCCUGGUGUAGAGGUGGAAUGCGUAGAUAUCAGGAGGAAUACCGGUGGCGAAGGCGACUUACUGGACUUAAACUGACGCUCAGGCACGAAAGCGUGGGGAGCAAACAGG